rnacentral:misc_RNA from 1 species
AAGUCGUAACAAGGUCUCCGUUGGUGAACCAGCGGAGGGAUCAUUACCGAGUUUACAAACUCCCAAACCCUUUGUGAACCUUACCUAUAGUUGCUUCGGCGGACCGCCCCGAAGGCCUCCCUCGCGGUGGUCCCGGAACCAGGCGCCCGCCGAAGGCCCCAAACUCUUUGUUUUCUAUGGUUUUCUCCUCUGAGUGGAAAUAAACAAAUAAAUAAAAACUUUUAACAACGGAUCUCUUGGUUCUG